CGAAUGAUUAGGAAACAACACUUCUGGCCUCAGAUGACUUUGUACAAAUGCAUAGAGUAUAAAAGGAAAUAAAAUCUUGAAUCAAAAUGAAGCUUCUAGAAGUUCAUUCUUUGGAAGGAAAUAUUAUUGCCUUUUCUCCUUCUGCAUGAAGCGGAUGACCAGAUGUACCACUUGAAGUUCUGCCUACCAGGCUACUUUCCUUCAUCAAUGCCAUCAGGGCCGUGCCUGAGUGUGAUGUGGUGGUGGAGACAUCCACUUCUGGCUGCUGCCAGCAUAUCAUGCUGACUCAUGUAGACAAGGGCACCACUGAUAAAGCCAUUGGGGAUAAAACUCACAAUCUCGACCCCCAAGCAAAGGAGCUAUCUGGUCACCUUCCUAUGUGAAGGUGGCAAUCGAUCUACUCCACAGCACCUGGAAUGUGUGAGUCCCAGCGAGGCAGCCACAUCAGUGGUAGUACAAGGUGGUGACAGUGGUGGUGACAGUGGAAAGAGUAGGACUGAGAAAUAGAAGAGCCUGAGAUGAAGAUGCGGGGAAGAAGGCCAAGGAGGGGUGACUGGAGACUUCACCCUGGGUCACACAUCAAAGAACUGUGGCUCUGGCCCCAGCCAUGGACACAUCUGCAGAGAAAGCCCAAGCUGAUGUUCAUCUCCCUGCUGGUGCCUGCUUAAGAGUGUGGGCGUGAUGUCUAAAUACAUAAUUAAAGUUAAUCUUGUUGCCAUUACGUUAUUCAUUAUAGUGAUUUUCUGGUUGCUUUUACGGAUCAUUGUAAAACUAGUUUUGGGUGAAAUAUGUAUCUUCACUUUUUUCCGUCUUAAUUUUUGAGAGUGCCUAUAUUCUUCAGUUGCUAAGUAACAUGCCGAUAAUAUGUUAUCCC
rnacentral:lncRNA from 1 species